GCAUAUCCAAUAGCGGAGGAAAAGAAACCAACAGGGAUUGCCUCAGUAACGGCGAGUGAAGCGGCAAAAGCUCAAAUUUGAAAUCCCCCCGGGGAGUUGUAAUUUGAAGAUUGCGUCUUGGAGGCGACCGUGUCUAUGUUCCUUGGAACAGGACGUCACAGAGGGUGAGAAUCCCGUGCGGCACGGCCCCCGGCUCCUUAUAAGGCGCUCUCGACGAGUCGAGUUGUUUGGGAAUGCAGCUCAAAGUGGGUGGUAAAUUCCAUCUAAAGCUAAAUACAGGCGAGAGACCGAUAGCGAACAAGUACAGUGAUGGAAAGAUGAAAAGCACUUUGAAAAGAGAGUGAAACAGCACGUGAAAUUGUUGAAAGGGAAGGGCAUGCCGUCAGAUUGUCAGUGUGGGUAAGAAGCGGGGUACAAAGACUGUGGAACGUGGCCCUCGGGUGUUAUAGCCGCAGUUCAUGCCCCGUCUCUUUCCGAGGCCUGCUUUGAGGACACCGACGUAAUGACGGUACGCCGCCCGUCUUGAAACACACGGACC
rnacentral:rRNA from 1 species